rnacentral:lncRNA from 1 species
AGGGAGAAACAUAUGAAAACUUUCAUUUUUGGUCAAAAUUGAAGAUCACUCGUGAAGAAAAGUUGGCCCUUUCAAUCUUACUAUUUUGUGGGGACUAGUAGGGAUAUGUUUUUUCUUUGAGUAACUUCAGCUUGGACAAAAUAGGAAAGUUCUCACCUAUUUCUUCCUUCAAAUGUCUUCAAUGUACUGAAUGGUCCCAUCCAAAUUAGUCCUCCCUAUCAAACGAGGCAAUUGAGUAGUUGUGAUGGCGAAGCGUGCAAUUUCAAGCAUUGAUUGAGUUAUUGGCUUGUCAUCCACCCUAGAAAUUUACGU